UGGGGAAUAUUGGACAAUGGGCGAAAGCCUGAUCCAGCCAUGCCGCGUGUGUGAAGAAGGUCUUCGGAUUGUAAAGCACUUUAAGUUGGGAGGAAGGGCAUUAACCUAAUACGUUAGUGUUUUGACGUUACCGACAGAAUAAGCACCGGCUAACUCUGUGCCAGCAGCCGCGGUAAUACAGAGGGUGCAAGCGUUAAUCGGAAUUACUGGGCGUAAAGCGCGCGUAGGUUGUGUGUUAAGUUGGAUGUGAAAUCCCCGGGCUCAACCUGGGAACUGCAUUCAAAACUGACUGACUAGAGUAUGGUAGAGGGUGGUGGAAUUUCCUGUGUAGCGGUGAAAUGCGUAGAUAUAGGAAGGAACACCAGUGGCGAAGGCGACCACCUGGACUAAUACUGACACUGAGGUGCGAAAGCGUGGGGAGCAAACA
rnacentral:rRNA from 1 species